AUCUAGCUGACGACUCCAAAAUACGACGAAACGCGCGUCCUGUAU
rnacentral:hammerhead_ribozyme from 1 species